GACGAACGCUGGCGGCGUGCUUAACACAUGCAAGUCGAACGGAAAGGCCCUGCUUUUGUGGGGUGCUCGAGUGGCGAACGGGUGAGUAACACGUGAGUAACCUGCCCUUGACUUUGGGAUAACUUCAGGAAACUGGGGCUAAUACCGGAUAGGAGCUCCUGCUGCAUGGUGGGGGUUGGAAAGUUUCGGCGGUUGGGGAUGGACUCGCGGCUUAUCAGCUUGUUGGUGGGGUAGUGGCUUACCAAGGCUUUGACGGGUAGCCGGCCUGAGAGGGUGACCGGCCACAUUGGGACUGGGGUACGGCCCCGACUCCUACGGGAGGCAGCAGUGGGGAAUAUUGCACAAUGGGCGGAAGCCUGAUGCAGCAACGCCGCGUGCGGGAUGACGGCCUUCGGGUUGUAAACCGCUUUCGCCUGUGACGAAGCGUGAGUGACGGUAAUGGGUAAAGAAGCACCGGCUAACUACGUG
rnacentral:rRNA from 1 species